CGAACGGGUGAGUAACGCGUGAGGAACCUGCCUCAAAGAGGGGGACAACAGUUGGAAACGACUGCUAAUACCGCAUAAGCCCACAGCUCGGCAUCGAGCAGAGGGAAAAGGAGCAAUCCGCUUUGAGAUGGCCUCGCGUCCGAUUAGCUAGUUGGUGAGGUAACGGCCCACCAAGGCGACGAUCGGUAGCCGGACUGAGAGGUUGAACGGCCACAUUGGAACUGAGACACGGCCCAA
rnacentral:rRNA from 1 species